rnacentral:rRNA from 1 species
CAGCAGUGGGGGAAUUUUGCACGGUGGGCGCAAGCCUGAUGCCUCGGAACUAACCGCGUGAGUGAAGACGGCCUUCGGGUUGUAAAGACUUUCCCCGGGGAAGAAAGGGAGUAAAGUUAAUACCGUUUUCUUAGUACGUACCUGAAGAAGAAGCACCGGCCAAGCUCCUGGCUACU